UCCCUAUGGGGUGCAGCAGUCGCGAAAAUUUUGCAAUACACGAAAGUGUGACAGAGCUAUCCCGAGUGCCAUCCGCUGAGGAAGGCUUUUACCCAGUAUAAAUAGCUGGGAGAAUAAGGAGAGGGCAAGUCUGGUGUCAGCCGCCGCGGUAAUACCAGCUCUCCGAGUAGUGUGGAUGUUUAUUGGGCCUAAAGCAUCCGUAGCUUGCUAAGCAAGUCCCCUGUUAAAUCCACCGAUUCAAUCGGUGGAUUGCGGGGGAUACUGUUUGGCUAGGGGACGGGAGAGGCCGACGGUAUUCCCGGGGUAGGGGUGAAAUCCUAUAAUCCCGGGAAGACCACCAGUGGCGAAGGCUGUCGGCUAGAACGCGCCCGACGGUGAGGGAUGAAAGCUGGGGGAGCGAACCGGAUUAGAUACCCGGGUAGUCCCAGCUGUAAACGAUGCAGGCUAGGUGUUUGGGCGGCCACGAGCCGCCCUAGUGCCGCAGGGAAGCUGUUAAGCCUGCCGCCUGGGGAGUACGGCCGCAAGGCUGAAACUUAAAGGAAUUGGCGGGGGAGCACCACAAGGGGUGAAGCUUGCGGUUUAAUUGGAUUCAACGCCGGAA
rnacentral:rRNA from 1 species